UGGUAGUGGCUUUAGGGCCUCACGCCCAACUUGGAACAAGGGCCUCACGCCCAACCUUCUCUCAAGGUGACGAAGCAAGAUUGCUAAGGAAGAAAGAAGCACUUUUUAUUCAUUCAUCAAUUGAAAUUACAAGAUAUCAUGAGGAGGUAUUUAUAGACUUUCCUCAUGAUUUGAAAUUUAAACACAUAAUGAAUGGCGCUCCACAUUUGAAGGCUUGGUUGCUAGAG
rnacentral:lncRNA from 1 species